GAUCAUGGCUCAGAACGAACGCUGGUGGCGUGUCUUAUACAUGCAAGUCGAGCGAGGCAGCAAUGCCGAGCGGCGAACGGGUGAGUAACGCGUAAGCAAUCUGCCCCAUAUCAGGAAAUACCCGUGCCAACGCGCGGUUAAUGUCCAGGAGAGUGGCCCCCUGCAUGGGGGGUUGACUAGAGAUUUAUCGGUAUGGGAUGAGCUUGCGUCCGAUUAGCUAGUUGGCGGGGCAACGGCCCACCAAGGCGACGAUCGGUAGCCGGCCUGAGAGGGUGAUCGGCCACAUUGGGACUGAGAUACGGCCCAGACUCCUACGGGAGGCAGCAGUAGGGAAUAUUGCACAAUGGGGGAAACCCUGAUGCAGCAACGCCACGUGUGGGAAGAAAGCAUUUCGGUGUGUAAACCACUGUCAUGAGGGAAUAAGGCCCAGUCUAGGCUGGGAUUGAAUGUACCUUGAGAGGAAGCACCGGCAAACUUCGUGCCAGCAGCAGC
rnacentral:rRNA from 1 species